rnacentral:rRNA from 1 species
AGUCGACGCUUGUGUGGUUCAACUGAUUUGAAGAGCUUGCUCAGAUAUGACGAUGGACAUUGCAAAGAGUGGCGAACGGGUGAGUAACACGUGGGAAACCUACCUCUUAGCAGGGGAUAACAUUUGGAAACAGAUGCUAAUACCGUAUAACAAUGACAACCGCAUGGUUGUUAUUUAAAAGAUGGUUCUGCUAUCACUAAGAGAUGGUCCCGCGGUGCAUUAGCUAGUUGGUAAGGUAAUGGCUUACCAAGGCGAUGAUGCAUAGCCGAGUUGAGAGACUGAUCGGCCACAAUGGGACUGAGACACGGCCCAUACUCCUACGGGAGGCAGCAGUAGGGAAUCUUCCACAAUGGGCGAAAGCCUGAUGGAGCAACGCCGCGUGUGUGAUGAAGGGUUUCGGCUCGUAAAACACUGUUGUAAGAGAAGAAUGACAUUGAGAGUAACUGUUCAAUGUGUGACGGUAUCUUACCAGAAAGGAACGGCUAAAUACGUGCCAGCAGCCGCGGUAAUACGUAUGUUCCAAGCGUUAUCCGGAUUUAUUGGGCGUAAAGCGAGCGCAGACGGUUAUUUAAGUCUGAAGUGAAAGCCCUCAGCUCAACUGAGGAAUUGCUUUGGAAACUGGAUGACUUGAGUGCAGUAGAGGAAAGUGGAACUCCAUGUGUAGCGGUGAAAUGCGUAGAUAUAUGGAAGAACACCAGUGGCGAAGGCGGCUUUCUGGACUGUAACUGACGUUGAGGCUCGAAAGUGUGGGUAGCAAACAGGAUUAGAUACCCUGGUAGUCCACACCGUAAACGAUGAGUGCUAGGUGUUUGAGGGUUUCCGCCCUUAAGUGCCGCAGCUAACGCAUUAAGCACUCCGCCUGGGGAGUACGACC